rnacentral:tmRNA from 1 species
GGGGGCGACUUGGUCUCGAUUGCGUUACGGAAAUAGAGCAGUGCAUGCCAAGGUUUCAGUUACCUUGUAAAACAGCUGAACGGCAAAUAAACGCCAACGAUUCAAACUACGCUCUAGCUGCUUAAUCCAGCUAGACCUCGCUCCAGUUAGUCUGCGGGCUGGGUCGGGAAACCGACAGCGGGGUCAUUAACGCAGAACCGCAUCCAUUCGGGUCACCGGUAUGGAUGUUAAAUAAGGUGACUCGCUUAACACGAGCCUGGCGGUUGGCGCGUGAAGGGCUAAAUCCAAAUAAUCUGUCCAAGCAUGUGAAUGACUGACUAUCAAAGGACGUAAGACGCGGGUUCGAUUCCCGCCGCCUCCACCA